GUGGGGAAUCUUAGACAAUGGGCGCAAGCCUGAUCUAGCCAUGCCGCGUGAGCGAUGAAGGCCUUAGGGUUGUAAAGCUCUUUCAGUGGGGAAGAUAAUGACUGUACCCACAGAAGAAGCCCCGGCUAACUCCGUGCCAGCAGCCGCGGUAAUACGGAGGGGGCUAGCGUUGUUCGGAAUUACUGGGCGUAAAGCGCACGUAGGCGGACCGGAAAGUCAGAGGUGAAAUCCCAGGGCUCAACCUUGGAACUGCCUUUGAAACUCCUGGUCUUGAGGUCGAGAGAGGUGAGUGGAAUUCCGAGUGUAGAGGUGAAAUUCGUAGAUAUUCGGAGGAACACCAGUGGCGAAGGCGGCUCACUGGCUCGAUACUGACGCUGAGGUGCGAAAGCGUGGGGAGCAAACAGGAUUAGAAACCCUAGUAGUCC
rnacentral:rRNA from 1 species